rnacentral:rRNA from 1 species
UACGUAGGGCGCGAGCGUUGUCCGGAAUUAUUGGGCGUAAAGAGCUCGUAGGCGGCUUGUCGCGUCGAAUGUGAAAACCCGGGGCUCAACCCCGGGCCUGCAUUCGAUACGGGCAGACUAGAGUUCGGUAGGGGAGUCUGGAAUUCCUGGUGUAGCGGUGAAAUGCGCAGAUAUCAGGAGGAACACCGGUGGCGAAGGCGGGACUCUGGGCCGAUACUGACGCUGAGGAGCGAAAGCGUGGGGAGCAAACAGG